UACGUAGGGUCCGAGCGUUGUCCGGAAUUACUGGGCGUAAAGAGCUCGUAGGUGGUUUGUCGCGUUGUUCGUGAAAACUCACAGCUCAACUGUGGGCGUGCGGGCGAUACGGGCAGACUUGAGUACUGCAGGGGAGACUGGAAUUCCUGGUGUAGCGGUGGAAUGCGCAGAUAUCAGGAGGAACACCGGUGGCGAAGGCGGGUCUCUGGGCCGAUACUGACGCUCAUGUGCGAAAGCGUGGGGAGCAAACAGG
rnacentral:rRNA from 1 species